rnacentral:sRNA from 1 species
AAGAAUGUCAAGAGGAAGAAUGUGAAUAUCAGUGGAAAGAGUUGAUGAGUCAUUGAAGAGUCAGAUGGAAAGUACAAUAGAAAUACAACCAUAACUGAAGUGGGCUCACUGGGACACGAUGCCUCAACCAUUAAUCUAACCCACUGGUGGGACUUCAUUUCCAAGAGUGCUGAAUGGAAUUUUAAAAUCCAAUUCCUAUCAUACUAGACUAUAUUAACCCUGAAUUUGCCUAAGGAUCACCUAGACAUCUUUCAUAACAUUUUUUUCAUCAUGUCUUUGUUGGUCUGACUAUCAGUCAG